AAAACCUUAUUUUAAUUAAAAAUUUAACUUUUGCAUAGUUAGGAUAAGUGUUGUGUUGUUUAAUACUUAGGUUUUU
rnacentral:tRNA from 1 species